rnacentral:rRNA from 1 species
UACGGGGGAUGCAAGCGUUAUCCGGAUUUAUUGGGUUUAAAGGGUGCGUAGGCUGUGAGGUAAGUCAGCGGUGAAAUGCCCCCGCUCAACGGGGUAAAGUGCCAUUGAUACUGCCUUGCUGGAAUGCGGAUGCCGUGGGAGGAAUGUGUGGUGUAGCGGUGAAAUGCAUAGAUAUCACACAGAACACCGAUUGCGAAGGCAUCUCACGAAUCCGCGAUUGACGCUGAUGCACGAAAGCGUGGGUAUCAAACAGG